GGAAGUAAAAGUCGUAACAAGAUUUCCGUAGGUGAACCUGCGGAAGGAUCAUUAUUGUAUAACCGAGGUGCGAGGGCUGUCGCUGACUCGAAAGGUCGUGCACGCCCGAGUGCCCUCACACACAUCCAUCUCACCCCUAUGUGCACCACCGCGUGGGUCCCCCUUUGGCUUGUUCGGAGGGGGGCUUACGUUUUCACACAAACUUUGUAUGCAGUGUAGAAUGUAUUUUUUGUUUUUGCGAUCACGCAAUCAAUACAACUUUCAACAACGGAUCUCUUGGCUCUC
rnacentral:misc_RNA from 1 species